rnacentral:sRNA from 1 species
GCGGGGCGUGGUGGCGCACGCCUAUGAUCGCAGCAACUUGGGAGGCUGAGGCAGGAGGAUUGCGAGUUCACAGCCAGCCUCAGCAACUCAGUGAGACCCUGUCUCUA